rnacentral:rRNA from 1 species
AGCGAACGCUGGCGGCAGGCCUAACACAUGCAAGUCGAACGAGCCCUUCGGGGCUAGUGGCGGACGGGUGAGUAACACGUGGGAACGUACCCUUAGGUUCGGAACAACACAGGGAAACUUGUGAUAAUGCCGAAUGUGCCCUUCGGGGGAAAGAUUUAUCGCCUUUGGAGCGGGCCGCGUCUGAUUAGCUAGUUGGUGAGGUAAAGGCUCACCAAGGCUACGAUCAGUAGCUGGUCUGAGAGGAUGAGCAGCCAACACUGGGACUGAGACACGGCCCAGACUCCUACGGGAGGCAGCAGUGGGGAAUCUUGCGCAAUGGGCGAAAGCCUGACGCAGCCAUGCCGCGUGAAUGAUGAAGGUCUUAGGAUUGUAAAAUUCUUUCACCGGGGAAGAUAAUGACGGUACCCGGAGAAGAAGCCCCGGCUAACUUCGUGCCAGCCGCCGCGGUAAAAC